AGUAAAGAGGCAAACAGACCUGACAAUAAAAAAGGAGGUCUCUUUUCUAAAACCAUGUCUUAGCCAAUACUAGGAAAGAGAACGCCCACAUUACUACUGUUAAGUUCAAAGAGACCUAAUUUCAUUAAUAACGGAUCUCUUUGCUUUUUUUUUUUUAAAAAAAAAAAAAAACCAAAACAGCUAAUAUUGCUAGCGGUUUUAUCCAAACCAAAUACGAAUCCUAAAUAGACAAUAUUUUGGGAAUUUGUUUUAUAAUGGGUGUAUAGUGGGAAUUUGUUUUUGUUUUAACAUUAUUGAGGGAAAUCGCUCAAUGAAAAUAAAAUAAACAAAAGAAAACUAAAGAAAGAAAAAUAAAAGGAAAAAGAAAUUAAAAUAAUAAAACAAUCAAUCCCCACCAAACCAUAAGACCACCAAUCUCUUCUUCUUCGAUUUUUAAGCUGCUUCAAAGGGGAACGAUCCCCUGCUUCACUCACCAUCAAACUCCAUCAUCAAACAUCGUCAUCAAAUCCCCACCAUUCAUCAUCAUCAACUAUAAUCGAGCAUCAAAUUGUGGCCAUCCGUUUUUCAUUAAAAUCAAGUGAGAAGCUCGUGAUUGAACCCACAUUUGCGCGCCCGCAAAGAGGUCGCGCAAACUUACUGCCUACAAUCUGAAUUUGGACUCCAUUUGCGCGCCUUCUGACAGGGCUGCGCGGCUGCGAAUAGCUUCAAUCAAAUUGGACCUUGAUUGAGGUUCGAUUGUUUGCAAAUGGUGAAGAGUGGUAGCCGGAAUUCGCUGCUUUGUUUUGUUGUUGCUGCAAUUGCGGGCAAUUGGUGGUUGCGAAUUGUCUUGCGAUGUGGCUUGGGUAAGGGUGAUUAGAGUUGUUGUUGCGGGUGUUACGGUGAAGUUGGGUGGUUGCAGCUGCGGUGAGGGAAUGGAGAAGCUGCUAGGUGCAGUUGGAGGUGGACGGUGGUGUUAUUGGUGGGCUGGGAGCUGCGUGAGGUAGCACAGGCUGUGGGCUGUUUACGUGUUUGUUGCGGUUGAGUUCGGUGGCUUGCGAGUUGGCUGGGAUUGGUGGCGUAAUGGGAGGCGCAUUAGGUGCUGCGGGCUACUGCUAUAGUAGUUGCAGUUUGUGAUUGCAGGUGGUCUGGGUGUGGGGUUAGUUGCGUUGCUGUUGUUGUUAUUGGAUGGAUGGUGGUCAAAAUGGGUGAGUGUGCAGAUUUGCUGCUAUUGCUAUUGGUGUUGUUGAGGAAAGCAGGGGAGCAGAGGAGGUUGGUGAUAGCAAGUGAGGAGCUAGGGAGUGAGAGAUGAGGUUGAGUUGUGGUGUAGGGUAAGGUGUGCGGUGGUGAAGGAUAAGAGGCAGCUGAAUGAGCAGCAAGGGGUAGCAGCUUGCUUAGCUCAAAUUUUGUGCCUCGAACCUCGAACCUUGAACUCGAAUAUGACUUUGAAACCCGGAAUACGCAAAACGACCUACAACAAAAACACGAGGGUAAUAACAAGAGAUAAAAUAAAAUAAAGAUAAAAUAACUUCUGCUUCAAAAAUUGAUAUAUCACAGCUUCUUGCGGUAGGGACUGGGCAGACGAUAGCAGGGGAUUCGUAAAUUUCUUCAGGUCAUCUGUGGAUACAUUCAAUGGGUAAGCGAAUUAGGGAAUUGCAGGACAGGAAAUCCGGUGAGAAACCGUGUGGAGGAUUUACAAAUAAACAUAAUUGAAUUACCUCCUGCGUUAUUCAAGGUAAAAAAAUCAUGUUACAUUUGGCUUGAAAUCGAUAAUUGCCUGCGUGUUGAGAUGUGGGUUAGUAAUUGUGGAAAAUGAAUUUGUAUAGGAUGAUACCCUGAGCAAGGGAGGUGAGGUGAAGGCAAGGGGAGUAGUACUGAAAGAGCAUUCCAGUGCAAUAUGCAGAGUAAUUUUUGCUUAUCUAUAUUGAUGUAUUAAGAGAUUGAAUUGUAUGAUUUAUGUUUGUUAUGCAUCAAAACUGAAUUGUUCGAUUAUCAAUUAAGGGGAAAUAGAAAUUAAAAUGAAAAAUAAAUGAAUGAAAAAAAAAUUGUAUCCAUAUUUUAACA